rnacentral:rRNA from 1 species
AACGCGAAGAACCUUACCAGGUCUUGACAUCCUCUGACAACCCUAGAGAUAGGGCUUCUCCUUCGGGAGCAGAGUGGCAGGUGGUGCAUGGUUGUCGUCAGCUCGUGUCGUGAGAUGUUGGGUUAAGUCCCGCAACGAGCGCAACCCUUGAUCUUAGUUGCCAUCAUUUAGUUGGGCACUCUAAGGUGAUUGCCGGUGACAAACCGGAGGAAGGUGGGGAUGACGUCAAAUCAUCAUGCCCCUUAUGACCUGGGCUACACACGUGCUAUAAUGGACGGUACAAAGAGCUGCAAGACCGCGAGGUGGAGCUAAUCUCAUAAAACCGUUCUCAGUUCGGAUUGUAGGCUGCAACUCGCCUACAUGAAGCUGGAAUCGCUAGUAAUCGCGGAUCAGCAUGCCGCGGUGAAUACGUUCCCGGGCCUUGUACACACCG